GCCUCAACACCUUCAUAAGAAAUAAUUUCUUCCUAAUAUCUAAUGUUUCCAUGGAUGAGAGACUGUCAUGCCUUCAGACUGUGUCUCAUUGCUUGAAGCAGAUCAGUUCUGCGCUGCAGCGGGGGAUGUGCUGCACCUGUGGGAUGUACAGAGAAGAAAGCGGGGCCACAAAGAGGGGAAGUGGCUUGCUCGAGGUGAUACAGCAGUUCUUCAGCAGAGGCUGGGAGCGGCAAAAGAUGAGAGACCUUCAUCGUGGAGCCGAGUAUUCGCUAGUAGGGAAGAGCUGAAAGUACUUCGGAAGAAAGGAAGUAUAGAAAAUUAGAGAAGUUGGACUACUCAACUCAUUUAUUUCUGCCUGGGAAGGUUCUUUGCUUCCUUUUGUUUCACAGGUUUAUGUCUGUAUCAAAGCUUCUUCAUAGGCUUAGCAUUUCUGCUCUCUUGUCUUUGCAAGGUAUGGUACUACUUUUGUCCAUUUUUGUGAGUUUGCUUGGCACUGAUCUCACAGAAUAUGUUGUCUUCCAUUAUUAAAUACUAUACUAAUA
rnacentral:lncRNA from 1 species